rfam:Schistosoma margrebowiei strain Zambia genome assembly, scaffold: SMRZ_scaffold0000842
AUCUAGCUGCCGAGUCCAAAAGAGAACGAAACGCGUGUCCUGGAU